GGCAGGAGGAACUUCUUGCAUGGCAGAUGCAUUACUCAAAUUAGAAUGGCAGAUGCAUGCAACAUGAAACAUUAAUGUUGCAGGGACAAAAUCAUUUCCAAUUGGUCUCAGCUUCAUUUCUUGAAUACUUAUGAGCUUGCAAAGAUGUGAUUCGGCCUGAGCUGAGCCAACAUGCCUCGUAUUCUGUUUUUGGGGGCUAGCUUGAAUAUUCUCAGCAUGGCCAACUAUCCACAACGUGCUCUAGUUUUAGGUCCAGGUGCACUAGCAUCCUUGAUUGCACUAGUAACUGGAUUGGAUAUAAAAUAUGGUUUGUGUUA